CUUGAGUGAUCCUCCCGCCUUGGCCUCCCAAAGUGCUAGGAUUACAGGUGUGAGCCACCGUGCCCAGCCUCCAUUCAGUGUUGAGCUUCAAAGUAGGCAGUUUUCCUUAACCCCCUUGGGGUUCAGGUGGAGCAUUUUAUUUCAAGUUCACUGUUACACUGAGAGGUGGUUCUUUGGGAUUCCAGCUUUAUGGGCUAAGGUCUCCCAUAUUUGAUUUCUUAUCAUGAGCAGGCCCUGGACAUUCUUAUUUAUCCCCCUUGGACUUGAAAGUGGAAACUCAUUGUCCCUUUCCUUGGGCAAAAGCUGGCUUCAGAGCUUCCCUGACUUCCCUGGGCUUCUUCCUUCACUAGGAUUUUUUAAUUUUACACAGCUUUCCUGGUUGUUUUCAGCAGCUGAGUACUUAGUCUUUCAUGCUACCAGAAAUGGACAGGUGUCUAAUUUACUUUAUUAUGAUACUCUUCACAGCAUUGUUGCUGAGCAACUCAACAUUGUUGCUGAAAAUCCAUACCCGAGUGUCCUGGUUCUGUUGGGGUGUAUGCGUGGGGGUGUUCUGGCAGCCCCUCACCUUCCUCACAGUGUUGUGACUUCCUUUUUGGGAAUAAAGAUAUAAAUUGUGUUUACAUAAUCUAACCUAGCCUGUAGAUGGGUUGUAGGUUUUGCCUUUAGAAAGUAGUUUUGAAUCUCAAAUUUGUGGGGAUUUUCUUCCAUAUACGUAUAGAUACUAGCUGAACGCUUAAGUCACUCUUCGGUGAUGUUAGUAUUUAUAUAUCGUUGUAUUGACAGGGAUGUGAGGUGUUCCUUUGAGAAGGGGGCUGAUAAGCCUCUGCUUCACUUUUUCCUGAGAGCUGCUGCUUUCUGCAGGACAAGUGCUGCCUGGCAUCACCGGGUGCCACCGCCCGUCCACAACACACCUUGACUGUGCUGACAUGAGGCAGGAGCCACGCUGCUUCGUCUGCUGUUGCAGCAACCUCGUGAGAGAGACCCCACAAUUCCCAUUUUAAUCAUGAGGAAAUGGAGGCUAAAGAAGCUGCCACAUGGGGCUGUGAGGAGCCAUACACGGUGCUGGCCAUGGGACACAGCAGCUCCUGCAAAGAAAGAGCCGAGACUAGUGCAUGAGACAGACACGACAGCCCUGCAGGAGAUGGGCAAGGAAGAGCAGGCCCCAGAGAGCAUGGGGCCACUGCCGGGGAUGACCUGGGGACUCCUGCAGAAGGAACCAGUGCUUCCAGGUGUGUGAGGAUGGGUCACCAGUGGUGGAGGAGGUGCAGGAUGGGGGCGUGCUGCCGGGUGUGAGGUCAGUGUGCCUGACGAGGGACCCUGGGGGGCGUCUGAGGGGGACAGGAACCCACUCAGACCCUAGGCAGCCGGAGCUGCUCACUGAGGCGUGCAGCCCAGGGCUGUGUUCCUGAUUCAGCAGGUCUAGGGUGGGGCCUGAAAUGCUUAUUUCAGACAAGUUCCUGGGCCCUGGAGGAACUGCCUGCGGGGGAAGGGUGGCCACGAGCACUCUCCUCACACUGCUUGAGGCAGCAUCCCAGGCACAGUCCAAAUCAUGUGCUGCCCCUUCUUUAGCUGAGGCAGGUGGAUACUUCUGAAAAUAACUUCACAGGAAAUUAGGGAUGUCAUUGGAUUUAAAGACCUAAAAAGUGGUGCCAUUCACCCAAAGCUCAAGUGUCCUCACUGGUGUCCAGGUUUGCUCCACAAACACCUGAGCCCUUGUCAUGCACCGUCUGCUCCAUGGGGCACUGGAGGGGCGACAGGCGGCAAGGCCCUGAGGCCCAGCCUUCGGUUCAGUACAGUGGCCGAUAGCUGUUGAGGCUCACAUUGGAAACCCAGGUCCUCGGUCACACGGCCACAUUUCAAUGUGAAGUGCCCACGUGUGUCUGGUGGCUCCUGCACGGGACAGUGCAGAGGAUGUUCCCUCCCCACAGAGUGUUCUGCUGGGCAGCACCGGUCUCAUGGGAACGGUGGACGCUGAAGCUUUACCAGACUUGAGCUGUCAGCUCUGAAGACGCAGGGCAAGGCCCAGUACGAGCUGUAUGGAGGCUGGUCGGCAGGUGGCGAGUUGUCUCCUGAUGGGUCACGGUUGGUUACAGGUGGAACUCCUCAUUCUACUCUUUCCCCCUCACUACUGCACUUGUCUAAAAAAGCUGUAACAAGAGAACCUCUGGCGUCAUCCAGCUGGGCCCUAUGGACACAGGAAUGGGCAGCCUGGAGGAGCGGGGGAGGCGGGGUGGCUUUACUCUGGAGCCUCAGUUCUUUUCCUUCCACUCCAACUCCCCGGCUCUCUCAGACCCCUCUUCUUCAGUGCUCACGUGCGACUCACUGCAAAAGAAGGGGCCCCAUCUAGACUGCGUUCUGCGGACUGCUGUGCAGGAAGAUGUCAGCAGGGGCUCCCCGCCCACCGCGCCCCAGGAGAGACUGGCUAGCCCUGCAGUAAGAGGCCCUCACAGCCUGGUCUAACUAGGGCUUCCAGACUCACGGGACCAUGCAGUACACACUAAUGGUAUCUUUUGGGGGCUCACGUUGAGGAAUGCAGAACUAGAACACCCCUCCUGUAUAGCUGUUUCUAGUCUUGCAUUAAGUCAUUGGAAAGCCCUUUGUCAGAAUGUGUUGCCCGCUCUAGAUGCCAGCCCCUUGCCCAGCCCCUCCUUGGAAGGCUGUGCCGGGCCUGGCAGCCUCGUCCCCACAUCCCGCAUCGGCCUGCAUCUCUGCACACACACAGCAGACAAGGCAGGGGAGCAAUGUGUUCUUUUAUUGAUGCAAGUAUGUCCAGUCACACCAAAGCUGACGUCCUGCGUUAUGGUACAGCUUUAUAACCGGAGUUCAUCUCAGAAUACCAAAACAUCAAAGUUAGGGCAUGUAUCAAAUUGGGAAAAUAAAGUAGCAGACGUAGACACUGUUUCAAGUAGGUACUAGAACUUAUCACCUGUGAAGUGCACAUGGAUGUGAAGACCCUUUAACACAUGUACAGAAAACGCUCUAACACUGUAUUCCAAAUAUAUAUUCUCAAGUGUUAAGCCUUUAUCUCAAAGGCAAACAAAGCAAUAUGUACUAUCCAUAUACAAUCUGUACUAGGUAGGAUGUGGGAAAGUGCAAACACACUGUGACAAUACAGUGUAACUAUUCUUGCUCUGCCCAAGGCCACCUCCUCCCCAGGGCAGCCUGCGCAUCUCCAGCCUCUCCCAGAAGCUUUGGGAAGUGGGACCUGGCAUGUGGAGAGGGACAAGGGUGAGGCGUUCCCACAGGGAGACACACUGCCUCCGGCUUUCUGAGGGAGGGCCGUGCUGUCCCACGGUCAGUAAGGCCCAGGGCAAACGCCAGGAGGUCAGGCAUGGAAAGGGGUGUGCUCCUCUAGGCUGGGCCUGCAGAAAUGCCUCCCAGUGUGGGGCAGUUCUAGCUGAUGGGGCUCCAGCAGUUCUGGCCUGGCGGACUCUGUGUCUCGGAUUCCAAUUUGGGGAGGGGGCAGUCGGCAGAACACCACCUCUCGAGCUGUGUCACUCCCUCUGUACGUGGGCUUCAAGAACAGCUCUACAUGUCACUGUCCCGGAGCCUGCUUUGCAUUCUCUUCAUCAAAGCUCAUUGUCUUUCAAAUCUGUGACUCCACAACUCCCUCCCUCCCUUACAUUUUAGAUUUCUUCAUUUCUAAAUGUAAUUGAAGAAUGACCUGCCAGACACUUUCUCACAGAAAAUAUACUGCCAGGUGCCCUUGCCUCUCCCUGACCCCACAAAUCCCUGACAAAGGAAAAUGAAAAUGUAAACUUUGGAAAGCCCACACUCAAAGGGCUUCCAGAAGUGUGCAGAUGAGACCUCCGGGCCACCGGGCCCCGGCAGGAGCCUCCAGGCCCGGGCUCGGGAGGGCCGGCGCCUUGCGGAGCAGGAAGACAGCCCCAGUACCCUCUAAGGCACUAACCCCGACGUCAGAGACACUGGCUGGAGAGGCGUCCGAGCAGGCAGGGCUCACGUUGGUUUUGGUUGGGUUUUUAAAAAUUUUUUUUUGUAAGAUGUUAAUAAUCAAAAGUAGAAAAUAAAAAUCUACAUUUCAUCAGAAUAAGACGCUAUCAUGGAUGCCAUCUCCCAUGAUACUCUUUGCCCCACCCUCCCCGAAGCAGGGCCCUGCCCUGUUCUUUAAAAUAAACAAAAAAACUUUGUAAGUGCCAAAGGUUGAUGCAUGAAAUAAUUACCAUUUUUUUCUCAUAAAAGUUAUGUACAAAACGGACCCCAACCAGUGAGGCCACCUCAGCUCAGCCUGUAUCGAUCAAGGUUUACACCCGGUGCAUACGUGUGCUCCAUCCGCUCUGCAGCCGGCCGGCGCCUCAGGCUCUGUUAAGGAGGGUGGUCCUAGUGGACAGGACAGGCAGCGCUCAGGCCCCAAGCAGGCAGGGGCAGGGCCUGGACCCAAAGCGCCCGGGGCCAGCAGCCCUGCACGAGGCCACCGAGGUGCCCCAGGCCCACCCGCAGUUCUCCCCCUUCCCUGCAGACUUGGGUGUUCUGGAGCUUUCCUACCUGAGUGUCUUCCAGCUGUCCUUUUCCAUGUGGUUCUCGGGACCUUCACUUUCAAAGGAGGCGAUGAAGAGAGCUGAGAGACAGGAAAGGCCCUCAGAACGCGUGUCCCCAUAUGGCAUCUGUGAACACCCAGUUUUCCCUUCCAGGGCAGCAGCUGCGCCCAGGAUAAGGGGACAGCCAGACCUGGCUGGGCUGUACACAGGUCUCUAUUGCAUGGGGCUCCCAGGCUGCCUGUCAGGGACCCUGGGACAGCUCCUCGCCCUGCAGCACCUGCCUGACCCUUUCUGGCCCUUCUGAGUGGCCUUGGAGCCUGAUCCUCUGUCCCUCUGUUCCCUGCCCACAACCCACCAUCACACACGCUUGCCCCAUGUGGCACGGAGUAGCCACCAGGGCAACCCCCAACAGGUGUGGGGCCUGGGCAGACGGGGGGGCACGUCCAGGUGGGAGGGCCGUGCUACCACAGGAGUAGCCCUCACCCUCCUCGCUGUAGAUGGGCGCCGUGAGCAGGUAACUCUGGAUCUUCUUAUCCUUCUCGAAGGGACACUCUACCUGCGUCCACGUCAUGAACUCAUGGAUCUGUCUGGAGAUCUCCCAAAAUUUCUGAAGGGGAAAAGACCAACUGAUGUUCUUCUGUCGCCUUAACCUCCAAACCUGUGGUCAGUGCAGGGGACUGAAGAGGGCCCCAUGUGUGACCCCGGCCACACGCAGCCCAUCAGCACCAACCGGAGCACGUCAGAUCUCUCCAGGGCCUGUGUAGGCUCCACAGCUCCCACCCUCACCCGUGUGAAGUGGGCAUCUAACAGCUCUGGCCCACCACCUGCCCAGGCACCUCUGCCGCACCCUCCCGUCCUUGGCCAGGUGCCCUGAGCCCCACCAGGCAGGUUCUUGGCUUUCGUCUGGAAUUCUCUGCCUCUGCCUCCCCUCUGCCCAAGGUCCUCCUGACUCCUCCUCUGUCUCCCUGGUGAGGUCGGGCUGUGGCCACGGUCCUGAGUAAAUACGGUUCCCUGUGACUCCCAGCUCUGCAACCAGGUCAUCCACCCAGAAGGACAAGGGGCACCUCACACGUCACGGUCACACGGCAGCCCUGGCCCCCUCUGCCGCUUUCAGACCUGAAGGCCCUUCCGAACCUCAGGCCGGGCUCGGGAGACCACACGCCCUCCCCCAGGGCCACUGCCGGGCAGCCACUCCGCCCGCCCUGCGUGGUGCUGGGGCCCCGGAGGCUGGGCUCACCUUGAAGUUAAUGUGCCCGUUGGGCAGGUGGUUGGUGUGGAUUUUGUGCAGGAAGUAGAUGUCCUUAACGAAGAGGUUGAACACAGGGAUGACGAUCUUCUCUCGGCUGCUGUUGGCCAUCUGGGACCUCUGCGUGGCCCCCUGCAAGGCCGUGCGGUAGUUGCAGAAGUUGCUGGACGGGUCCAUGUGGUGCUGUGGGCACAGGGAGGCUCUGGUGAGUGUCCCAGGCCAGCGCCCCUCAGACCUGCUCAGGACGCUCCUCUGCAGGGCCGGAGCCUUCGUCCUGGGCAGCCCAGGGGUACGCGCAGGGGGGGGAAACGCCCAGAAGUACCUGGUUGAGCCCCACAGCCAGGGGUUUCCAGGUUUCAGUCCCAGUGUCUCUGGAAAGCUGGACAGAAGUGUCACAGCCCUGCCUGCUGCGCCCAGCCUCUCCCUCCUGCCUUCAACACUUUCCUUUGCUCCUCUUCAUGUAUCACCUCUGAGACCUGAGCAACCCCACGAGAUACAAGUGCUUUGCAAAAAAUGGAUUCCAGGAUCAAAUGCAUCCAGGUAAGGCUGCAGGGGAACUGGUCUGCCAGCCUCUGGGCCGCCCAGAGGCCCAGGACCAGGAGAAGGUGACCAAGGAAAAGGCCAGCCAGGCUCCGCUCACCCAUGCUGUCCACCUCAUGACUCGGGGCCCCACUUCUGUCAAACUCUUUAUUAACUGCUCUCCGGAACUUGCCUUAGGCGACGCUAGGUCCAGCAGAAGUAGCAAGAGCCUCGCCAAGGAGAGCCCGAGUACCCGCCACUGGAAGACGACAGUGCCAGGCCAGCAGGAGCCGCCGGCGCUGCGCGGGGAAGCCCCCGCCCCACCGUCAGCACCUUGCAGGCCAUGCAGGGCAAGGCUGCGGCAGGCGCUCGCCUACCUCCAAGAUGUCAAACUUGGCCGUCUUGACCUUGGACCAGGUUUUCUUCAGCCGCGCCACGGGACUGAGGUUCAUGCCAGCUACGAGGGACAGCAGGUGGGGUCAGGGCGGUGGAGGCAGGCUGAGGCCCCCCCACUGGGCACCCGGGCACUCACAGAUGAUGGCCAUCAUGGAGUUGAAAUUCCCGAUGUUGAAGCACUCCCGGGCCACGUCAAUGAAGAACUCCAACAUGCGGGUCCGGUGCUUCUUCUUCACCACCUGAAAGGCGCAGGGCGGCCUCAGCACGGCACCACCAGGGUGUGGCACCGACCCUGCUCCCCAACCCUUUCUCAGCCGCGAGGAGGGCUGUCUGCCCAGCAAGGCCCGACAGACGCAGGCGGCGCUGGGCACGGAGGAAGCACAGGACAGGGUGGCUGUCGUCGCUGCGAGAGGUGCCGCCAAGGCCCUAGCAAUGCAAGGAAGACUUCGGGCCUUUACUUUUAAAGUUCCCUCACCUAACUUCAGGUGAGGCGGGAGUCAGCACCUCACAGGCUGUGGAGACAGGGCACCCCGCCAUGUCUGCCGUGGGGCAUGCUUACCCGACACACCUCUGUGGCCACCAGCAUGCUCAGGCAGUUGAACCAGUUGUCAUAGGCCUCCAGGCUGUAGGUCUUGGUCAGGUCCCCUCGGCACUGUGGGGACACAGCUGGUCUCAGGGAACCUGGAGGACCCUGCUUAGACAACAGAGUCCCCAUGGCUAGCCUGGCCCCCCCAGGCCGCAGCUAGGCCUGCUUCGUGGCAGCCCAGACCAGUCCUUACUGCCCAGCGCAGGGCCAGGCUGGCCCUCCAGGCCAAGCCUGCAGCUCCCCUGUGCGUCAUCUGCACAGUCAUCCAAGACCUCCGAAGCAGGUACCCGUGGGGCCAGGGCCACAUCUGUCAGGUCGCAUGGCCAGUGCUCUGCAGGUGCUCGGGACGUGCUGGGUGAGGCCCACACCUGCCCUGCGUGGGCUGCAGGCACCAGGCCGGCCAGGCAUGUGGCACUGGCUGGGGACCCAGAGCAUGCCACAGGCCUCUGCCACUCACCCUGUGGUUGUCUAGGGAGUCCAUGUGGCUGAUGAUCUGCAUGAGGUCCUCGGGGUGGAUGCUGCUGACCCUGUCCUGGGGGUGAGGAGACAGCAGGGGGAGGGUCAGAGCUGCACAGGGUGUGUUAGGAGCAGGGGACCUGUUCAGGGCACAGGCUCUUGGCCUCCUCCCAUGCCAGUCCUCCAUCCUGGGGCCACCACAGUCCCCACUGCAGGACAGCACUGCCCCAGUCCUCCCUUUCACACAGGGCUGCCGUGCUCCCGUAGCCCCGAGUUCCAGACACAGGGGCACCUGCUGCUCAGACGGACGUGCCCAUCUGAGGCUGGGGAGCUGGCUCCCCCACCCAUGACCCAGUGUGACUAUGGGCCCUACAGCACUGUGACGAGAGACACCACGGUCUGGUGGCCCUGCACAGCAGCAAUGGAUGCCCCCCUUCCUGCAUGUGGCAGCACUGACCAGCUCGAUGUGAGUCAGCUGCUGGGCCAGCACGAGGGGGUCGCAGCACACGCCCAGAAUGUCCUUCUGGGCGGCCGGUGGCUUGGUCUUGAGGACAGACCCUUUGUCCACAGCUGGCGGCCGGAGUUUCUCUCGCAGCUCCUGGAACUGGCUCCGGGCGGCCAGAGACAGCAGCAGGCUCUGCGUCAUCUGGGCAAUGGCCUUCUUCACUGUGCCAUUCUCCUGUGGGCGUGAGGGGUGACGAGGGUACUAGUAUGGCCUGGCAGCAAGGCCACCACCACUCUGGGGAGACCACAUCACCUCCAGAGAUGUGCCUGACCAACAGGAGCCCACGCCCCCUAUCCAAACCUGCCAUGAGCCUUUGGGCCUUGACAGAGUACAGCACCGGCUCCUCGGAGGGCUCCUGGGGAGGCUGCUUCUCACUGCCUUCCCAUGGGAGGAGGGGCCCCAGAAUGGAGCAAGGCAUCGGGAAGAACUUCAUCCCUGGUCAAGAGCCUCCGUCCCUGAGCAGGAGCAGCCUGGGGUCCCUGUCCCCUCCUGAAGCUCUCCCUAGGCCUCCUAAGCCCUCUGGGUGGACAGGAGCUGCUGAAUACAUGGAAUUUUGGCCCAGGUUUCUCAGGUCCCCCGUCUAUACCCCAAAGGCCAAGGCUGAGCUGGGAGCCAGGAAAGGCAAACAGACUCUUACAAACUCUUGAUACACCCCCACUCCAGGGACAAGGGUGCCAAGGGCCAGCAGUGAUCUUAGCUGCCAUGCUUGCAGGGUUCUUGCAUGCAGUGUCAUGGGUGAGUCUGGCCAGUUAGUGACCCACUGAGCUGUCAUCUAGGGGUGAGGGAGGUUGAAUAAAGCCACCCGGCAACCUCCUUGGGGGAGUGACAGGGAAGGAGACCCCAUAUAGAGCUGUCCCUGAAGACGCCACCCUCCUGAGGGCAGACCUCCCACCCACUCAUAUACCCAGGGAGCCUGGCCAGGGCUGAACAAGCACUAACCUCAUCACACUGGGUGACACGGUGUGUGAUGGCCUUCAGUUCGGCCAUGGCCUUCUCGUCCUGGAAGUCAUAGGGGAAAGCCUCCGUCCACUCCUUCAGGAGCUGCACGAUCUUGGCUGAGAAGGACUUCAGCUUGGCCUGGGGCAGCGUGGGACACAGUGAGGCCCCAUGGGCCAGAGUGGGCAACAAGAUGGCAAGCGGUGCAAGCUGCCCCCACCCCGGGGCCUGUGCUGGGCACACCCCCCACCUGUGUACCACCUACAGUUUUGCCACGCCUGAGCCACCUAGACUCCUGUUUGUUUAGUUCCCCUUAAGUCGGCUUUCUUUCUCACUUAAGUAAACUCAUUCUCA